GGAGUUGUAGCUCAGGGGCAGAGCAUUUGCCUAGUGUGAUGAGGCACUGAGUUUGAUCCUCAGCACCACUA
rnacentral:tRNA from 1 species